CCCUUAGAUGUCCUGGGCCGCACGCGCGCUACACUGAGUGUCUGAGAUACGAGUCUGCCUGGUCCGGCAAGGUCUAGGUAAUCGCUAAAAGACACAUCAUGCUUGGGAUAGAUCAUUGCAAAUAUUAAUCUUGAACGAGGAAUUCCUAGUAAGCGCAAGUCAACAGCUUGCGUUGAUUACGUCCCUGCCCUUUGUACACACCGCCCGUCGCUACUACUGAUUGGAUGUUUAAGCGAGGUUCUCGAACUGCUAGCGACUUAGCUUCGGUGAGGUCGCAGUGUGGGAAGUGAACCUAGCUUUGGUGUCUAGAGGAAGUAAAAGUCGUAACA
rnacentral:rRNA from 1 species